GACGGAGGAUGCAAGCGUUAUCCGGAAUUAUUGGGCGUAAAGGGCUCGUAGGCGGUUUGCCGCGUCGGGAGUGAAAACCUCGGGCUUAACUCGGGGCUUGCUUUCGAUACGGGCAGACUGGAGGUAUGCAGGGGAGAACGGAAUUCCUGGUGUAGCGGUGAAAUGCGCAGAUAUCAGGAGGAACACCGGUGGCGAAGGCGGUUCCCUGGGCAUGACCUGACGCUGAGGAGCGAAAGUGUGGGGAGCGAACAGG
rnacentral:rRNA from 1 species